rnacentral:tRNA from 2 species
GUCCCUGUAGCUCAAUUGGAUAGAGCGCUUGCCUUCGAAGCAAGAGGUUCGAGGUUCGAGUCCUCGCAGGGACG